rnacentral:rRNA from 1 species
CGCGCAGGCGGGUCAAUAAGUCAGAGGCGAAAUCCUACAGCUUAACUGUAGAACUGCCUUUGAUACUGUUGAUCUUGAGUAUGGAAGAGAGAGACGGAAUUCCAGGUGUAGUGGUGAAAUACGUAGAUAUCUGGAAGAACACCAGUUGCGAAGGCGGUCUCUUGGUCCAAUACUGACGCUGAGGCGCGAAAGCGUAGGUAGCAAACA